AUUGAACGCUGGCGGCAUGCUUUACACAUGCGAGUCGAACGGCAGCGCGGGCUUCGGCCUGGCGGCGAGUGGCGAACGGGUGAGUAAUGCAUCGGAACGUGCCCAGUAGUGGGGGAUAGCCCGGCGAAAGCCGGAUUAAUACCGCAUACGACCUGAGGGUGAAAGCGGGGGACCGAAAGGCCUCGCGCUAUUGGAGCGGCCGAUGUCGGAUUAGCUAGUUGGUGGGGUAAAGGCUUACCAAGGCGACGAUCCGUAGCUGGUCUGAGAGGACGACCAGCCACACUGGGACUGAGACACGGCCCAGACUCCUACGGGAGGCAGCAGUGGGGAAUUUUGGACAAUGGGGGCAACCCUGAUCCAGCCAUGCCGCGUGCGGGAAGAAGGCCUUCGGGUUGUAAACCGCUUUUGUUCGGGAAGAAAUCCUCUGGGCUAAUACCCCGGGGGGAUGACGGUACCGGAAGAAUAAGCACCGGCUAACUACGUG
rnacentral:rRNA from 1 species